ensembl:miRNA
AUCUCCUGGAGAUCUUGUUAAAUGUAGAUUCUGGUUCAGUAGGUCUGGAAUGGGGUCUGAGAUUCUGCAGUUCUAACAAGUUCUCAGGUGAUGCCACU